UACGUAGGGUGCGAGCGUUGUCCGGAAUUAUUGGGCGUAAAGAGCUUGUAGGCGGUUUGUCGCGUCUGCCGUGAAAUUUCGAGGCUCACCUCGAACUUGCGGUGGGUACGGGCAGACUAGAGUGUGGUAGGGGAGACUGGAAUUCCUGGUGUAGCGGUGAAAUGCGCAGGAUAUCAGGAGGAACACCGGUGGCGAAGGCGGUUCUCUGGGCAUUACCUGACGCUGAGGAGCGAAAGUGUGGGGAGCGAACAGG
rnacentral:rRNA from 1 species